UGAACUUCUAGCUUCCAAAACGAGAGGGUAAACUGACAGAUGGGAAACUGAGGCCUGGAGAGAUUUCGUCUCCUGCUCAACAUUGUCACAACUUGUCAGAGAUGGAGCCUGAGCAAAAUCCCAGGUCUGCCUGAUUCUGAAGCCUGGACUUUUACAGAACACUGCCUCUGACCAUGGCUAUGCUGGCAUUCAGCAAGUAGGAACAUCAGGAGCACUGAGGCUGUCACUAAUGGUCCUGUCCCAGCCCCUCCACUGUGAAGCUGAGACCUUUCACAGGAACCAAAAAGGGAUUGAUGCUGUGGAGAUGGGACACUGAUACUCGCAGGUAUGCACACUGCUGGGCAGGUCCACAUGACCGAUACGUGCCAGAAGCCAACUGGAACAAAGCUGUGAAAUGGGAGCAUUUCUGAGAAAGAGAAUAGCAGCCCCUCCCUGGUGCCAGCCCAGCCCACACAGCUGGGCCUGGCAUUCUCCCUAACACAACACAUCGCUGAAGAGCAACACCAGACAAGCCACUCAUGACCCAAUGCAGCAAGACAGACAGACACCGGGUGACUGUGUCUGGACACAGAAAACAUGCCAUGGUCUAGCCACCAAUCACAGACACUGGGUGACCGUG
rnacentral:lncRNA from 10 species